rnacentral:rRNA from 1 species
AGGAUGAACGCUGGCGGCGUGCCUAACACAUGCAAGUCGAACGUCCUGUCUCGCAAGAGGCAGGGAGUGGCGGACGGGUGAGUACCACGUGGGUCAUCUACCGUGAGGUGAGGAAUACCGGCGAGAAAUCGCCGACAAGACCGCAUAGCCUCGGUGCAAGUCGAGCAAAGCUCUUUCGAGAGAGGGAGCGCCACACGAGGAGCCUGCGCCCGAUUAGCUAGCUGGUGGAGUAACGGUUCACCAGGGCGACGAUCGGUAGCUGGUCUGAGAGGACGAUCAGCCACACUGGGAUUGAGAACGGCCCAGACUCCUACGGGGGGCAGCAGUGAGGAAUUUUCGUCAAUGGGGGCAACCCUGAACGAGCAACGCCGCGUGCAGGAAGAAGGUUUUCGGAUCGUAAACUGCUUUUCUCGGGGAAGAGAAUGGACGGUACCCGAGGAAUCAGCCCCGGCUAACUACGCGCCAGCAGCCGCGGU